UUUGGAGAGCUUAUGGGACUGAUUAUUGCCUGAAAAGAGAAGGAAAGAAAGGCAGUAGUGGGCAAAGGCAAUGGAUAACCAUCAAUAAACAACCAUGCAUGAAUUACAUCUUCAAGAACAAAUGUUAUCACCAAGUGAAAAUAAGCUAUAGUCUCAAAUGCUGACUUUCUGGAAGAGCAGAAUGACCUUGUCUCUCAGGAAAAUCCUGCCUCACACACUGAAAGAUAUGCCAGUCUCAGAUAUUUUUGCAAUCUAAGGAACCCAACCAGAGGGGACUGCUAAGGACCCCACCAGACCUGAUUCCAGCCUUCAGCAGCACAUUGCUAUGGAUUUUUACUCAGAAAUGAAUCUCUGCUAAUUUUGUCAAAGUCUUAAUCUUCAAAGGUCUUUGAUAUCAUGCUCUAUGAUUCUGUGGUCCUGUGAUUCUAUCAUAGUGGCAAAAGUUAUGGAUGAACAAGAGCACACAAGCUAGGAGAGGCUGUAGCUGUUUGCCAUUGUCUGAGCCUACUGAGAAGAGCAAGAUUCCACUUCCUCCUCUCCUUUCCUUCUUGUUGAGUUAACUGAGGACAAACUACUUGUGCACUUUGAACUCACUUUGCAGCAAUUGAAAUAAGGUGUUGCCCUUCUGGUGGUAUGGCGAUUUACUAGUUGAAAGAAAAUGGCCCCUAUGAUAAAGUAGUAGGCUGUGAAACUUGAUUUAAGGUCAUGGUAAUCUUCUGACUAUCACCCUCAUUCUGAACAGGGUUAAUUUAUGCUUGGUGAAGAUCAAGACAAAAGCUACCCUCACAAAAAGUGAAAAGAAAAGGGAUACUGGAGUACAAUAAUUACAAAAAAAGAAAAUAAAAGAAAGAGCAGCAUAUUCCAAUGCUGUUGUAUACAUAUAAUGAAAUUUGAUGUAAAGGAAUAAUGGUUUAUUCAUUUCUGGGUUACAGGUUGUUUCACCUGCUAGAGUGAUAUUUCAUUGGACCAAAUAGAAAUCCAUCUGGAGAUGGGAAUGUUUUCUUUAUAGCAGUGUAUUUAUCUCAGGGACAGGAUGUGGAAGUAUCUACAAAAGACUAAAAAAAAACUUCUACAUCUAUCGAUGGAGAAAUCCAGAUAGUUUCCAGAAUCCCCCAGCUAGCAUGGCCACUAGCCAUUCUUACUGAGGAUUCUAGGACCAGUAGUAAAAAGAAAAAAAAGUAUUUUUCCAACCUCUAGGGAAUUCUGUCAGUUUCACUAUUUCCCAUGCUCAGAUUUUUAAAAAAAAAAUCUAUCCUGAAUAGGAACAAUUGAGUCUAGGAGUGCUGGCCAUACAACAAAAUACAAUAACAUCCAAAAUCUACAAAACAAUGCUACCUUUGUUAGGCCAAAGGACAUGUUGCAAGCUUUUGAAGCUCCAUAGGCUUCUUCAUCAGGCAAAGUUGUUAAAAAUCAUGUGAAAUGUAUGCCAGUAACAUGAUUUUUCCCCUCCUGUAUGAUUUUUAACAUCUUUGCCUGAUGAAGAAGCAAGUGAAGCUUCAAAAGCUUGCAACAUUUAUUUUGUGCAUUUUUGUUGGACUAAUGAAGCAUUGUGUAUUUGUUUCAAGACUGAAUUGAAAUGAAAUUCUUCCUCAUCCGUACCACCCAAAUUCAGUCAGUAGAGCUAUUCCCAGCACGGAGAGGACCAUGAUAUAUCAGCUUGCCAUAAAAAUGUUAAAAGAUGUGGAGCCUCUCAGAAGAAAAGAGGUGGCAAGCUUAAUUCUGAAAUAACAUGGCUGAAUACAUAGCGAUUCAAACCAAAACAUUUAAGAGUUAAACAGUCAAAUGGAUAGAUGAAUCUGUCAGGUUUGGUUUGUCCCACAUACAGAGUUAAAAGCUCAAGUUCUUCCCAUCAAAAAUAUGAAGAAAUGUGCUGAGGAAAAGUGGAAAGUUCUUACCAGAAAUUAUAGAAUUUGGUUCUCAGCCAUUCCUACCUGUGUAUUCCCACACAUUCCCUAAGUCCAGAGAUACAUAGAAACAUAUGGAAACAGCUCAUAAGUAGUGUGACAUUUCUGUGUGCCUGACAACUCCUCAACUAACUGGUGUCCCCUCCCCCCUUGCAGCCUCUGUGCCUCUGAAACACAGUAAAUUUCCACUGAUGUACAGCACUUAGGAAAGGGGAAGGAUAGAUUAUGAGUAUAGUAGAUAUACAGGUGUAUGCUCUCUCAUUCACUGUAAUGUUCUGGUAUGGUGCUAAUCUUUAGGUAUUUAUAUGCACACACAGAGGCAAGGGGAGAAAACAAGAUCCAUUUUUUAAAAAAAUAUAUUUUUCAUUCUACUCCAAAGAAACAUGUAAUAUUAAAGUACACAGCCAGAAUACACAAAUGUUGAAAGCGUUUCCUCUCACAGCCAGCCAAAAAGAGCUGAACACCAUUGGAAAUCCCUCAUAUAUUCUGUAAACAAGUUAUGGAAUAUUAUUAAAAUUAAAAUGAAAUCCUAUUGAAUUGUAUAAAGAUGACCAUCCACAUGUAGGCAUGGUACCUUUGCCCAGGGAAAAAUGUAAAGUUCAUGAGUUGCAAGCAAAAGUUCCAUUUUUCAAGAGCUCCCAUCCAAAAGCAUCAGUUCUAAUAACAUGGUAGCACCAGCAUCAGAAAGCCAGUCUUACAAAGUUCCUGCAAACUAAUGAGAGUCUUGAUGAGAAACGGAUUGUGCUUAAGUGUUACCUUUAAAUAUUCAUUAGGGAAAGUGGUGUGCUGGCAGAUCCAAUAUUGCUCAACCGUUAGUUCUUCUUGUGACAUAGUGACAUUAGGUGACAUACGAUGCCGCUGCUGUGAAAGACUUUGUCCUCACUCUUGUGCUUCCUACGACUGGGAAAAUUAACCUUCGCUUCCGACCAUUACUGUUCAAGCUGUGAAUAUUUAAUAAGGACAAAUUCUCUUUUCUUCACUGUGUUUAUUAAACCAAUUACUUACUUUUAGUCGUUGUAAUGACUGAGCUGUAAUGCAUGCCCAACAAACUUGGGAAUAACAACAGAACUAUAGUAGAAGACAGACUGCUUAUGGCGGUAUCACUAAAAUCAAGCUGGCUCAAAAUCAAUAGGACUAAGGUGGCACCAGAGUAAUCUGGCAGCAUAAUUGACAUGUAGAUUGUUUUAAAAAGGGCUCUGUACUUCUCCAUUUAUUAUUGCCUGUAUCAAUACAUGUUAAUAAUGGAUUGUUUCAUGUGGUGAAGGAAAAAAGGGUAAUAAUCAUCAGUUUUUUUAACACUUGCUUUGGACACUGACUUGAGAGCUCCCUGUGCAAAACAAAGACAGCUUAUAAAUAUCUUGGUCUUUAACAUACCAGGCUUGAAAAGUGGAAUUAGAGUAGGAUAGUAGCAUUUGUGGCCAUAGCUUAUCACAUGAUACUGUGUCUAUCCAGUAUCUGGAUAGUUCAUGUACUGCUGGAGUGCUCCUUUUCACUGAUGGGAAAAAUCUGUCAAUGCCCACAAAACAAGCUGCUUUUCCACUAUUGAGUGAGUGUGAUAAGUUCCUCUGAUAUACAAGGCAGUAGCAAGCGGGCAUGAUUAAAAGGAGGGACUCCUCUCCCCCUCUCCCCACUUUCCCUCAAAAUUCCCAAGGAGGCUGUUUUCUUUUUUCCAGUUUCUUUAUUUAAUCUAAAGGAUUGUCAUGAUCAUGCAAUUGUGCGAUAGAUAGAUAGAUAGAUGAUAGAUAGAUACCCAGCGGCAUGCUGGGAAAGGGUUAGGGUAGGGAGGGGGGCUAUGGAGGCUAUGGAGGCCAGGGUGUGAAAGACAGAGGCCAGGACAGAAGCAACACCAUGGAAAUUUGGAAAAGCAGUGCUAUGAGUGUCCCCUAUCUGGUAUGUUUAUGUUUGCUAGACUAAACGGGAUUGUGGUGCCUUACAAUCCUGGUGAAAUGGCAUCCCGGAUAAAGCAAGCAAGCAAGCAAACAAGCAAGCAAGCAAAAUUAUUUUUUAAAAUGUUUGUAUUUUGUUUAAGAUUGUUUUACUUUUUGAGUUAAAUAUGUGUGUAUUCCAUUCAUCUGGGAAUUACAUUCUAUUUGUUCCCACAGGACUGAAGCAUCAAUAUCACACAUGACUUUGAGACAAUUUGGUAUCACUUUAUUGAUUUUGUCAUCAAACUUGAAACAGUUUAUGGACCCAUGAAACACAUGAUGAUUUUUUGGGGGGAAAUCAAUUCUAAAUAUGAACUGACAGUUGCAUUUAA